rnacentral:rRNA from 1 species
GACGAACGCUGGCGGCGUGCCUAAUACAUGCAAGUCGAACGCAGUGGGGCCGGGUGAGUAACACGUGGGUAACCUCCCAUCAGAGGGGAUAACACUUGGAAACAGGUGCUAAACCGAUACUGAUGGAUGGACCCGCGGCGCAUUAGCUAGUUGGUGAGGUAACGGCUCACCAAGGCCACGAUGCAUAGCCGACCUGAGAGGGUGAUAGGCCACACUGGAACUGAGAAACGGCCCAGACGCCUACGGGAGGCAGCAGUGGGGAAUCGUCGGCAAGGGACGAAAGUCGGACCGAGCAAGGCCGCGUGAGUGAAGAAGGUUUUCGGAUCGUAAAGCUAGGUUGGUAGAGAAGCGGUAUCUAACCAGAAAGCCACGGCUAACUACGUGCCAGCAGCCGCGGUAAUAC